rnacentral:lncRNA from 1 species
GACACUAGCUGCUAUGUCUGUAUGGAGUUUGCAGGACCAGCAAUAGUACAGAGCUAUGAUUCUUCAAAGUAGUUUUUCUCCCCUUUAGAAACUGAAAAGACUCUAUGAUGUCUCCUCGGAGCCUUCUCCUCUCCAGUCUGAACAGCCCCAGCUCUCAGCCUGUCCUCAAAGGGGAACUGUUCCAUGCUUUGGAUCAUUUUUGUGGCCCCCCUCUGGAUGCACUUGAACAGGUCCAUGUCUCUCCUGCACUAAGGACUCCACAUUUGGACACAGUAGUACAGGGGGAAGAAAGCUGGAAAUGGCAAGGUUCUGAAGCAAACACUGUGCGGGACAGCAUGCAUCCUGACAUGAUCAAGUAACGCCA